rnacentral:rRNA from 1 species
AUUGAACGCUGGCGGCAUGCUUUACACAUGCAAGUCGAACGGUAACAGGCCGCAAGGUGCUGACGAGUGGCGAACGGGUGAGUAAUGCAUCGGAACGUGCCCAGUCGUGGGGGAUAACGCAGCGAAAGCUGUGCUAAUACCGCAUACGAUCUAUGGAUGAAAGCGGGGGACCGUAAGGCCUCGCGCGAUUGGAGCGGCCGAUGUCAGAUUAUGUAGUGGGUGGGGUAAAGGCCUACCAAGCCAACGAUCUGUAGCUGGUCUGAGAGGACGACCAGCCACACUGGGACUGAGACACGGCCCAGACUCCUACGGGAGGCAGCAGUGGGGAAUUUUGGACAAUGGGCGCAAGCCUGAUCCAGCAAUGCCGCGUGCAGGAAGAAGGCCUUCGGGUUGUAAACUGCUUUUGUACGGAACGAAACGGUCUGGGUUAAUACCCUGGGCUAAUGACGGUACCGUAAGAAUAAGCACCGGCUAACUACGUGCCAGCAGCCGCCGUAAAAC